rnacentral:rRNA from 1 species
UUAAAAAGCUCGUAGUUGGAUUUCUGCGGGAGACGAAGGGUCUACCUUACGGGUAAGCAUCUCUCAGGCUCCUGCAUCCUCAACAGGAACGUCGCUGCGAUUCAUUUCGUGGUACGGUACUGUUGACUUUUACUUUGAGGAAAUUAGAGUGUUCACGGCAAGCAAACGCGUGUAUACAUUAGCAUGGAAUAAUAAUAUAGGACCUUGGAUCUAUUUUGUUGGUUUCUAGAACUAAGGUAAUGAUAAAUAGGGACAGUUUGGGGGCAUUUGUACUAACGCGUCAGAGGUGGAAUUCUUGGAUUGCGUUAUGACAAACUACUGCGAAAGCAUUUGCCAAGGAUGUUUUCAUUGAUCAAGAACGAAAGUAUGGGGAUCGAAGACGAUUAGAUACCGUCGUAGUCUAUACCAUAAACCUAUGCCAACUAGGAAUGAGACGGAUGUAUAUUUUAUGACCCGUUUCCGCGCCUUAUGAGAAAUCAAAGUUUUUGGGUUCCGGGGGGAGUAUGGUCCGCAAGUCUGAAACUUAAAGGAAUUGACGGAAGGGCACCACCAGGAGUGGAGCCUGCGGCUUAAUUUGACU